GUGGGGAAUAUUGGACAAUGGGCGAAAGCCUGAUCCAGCCAUGCCGCGUGUGUGAAGAAGGUCUUCGGAUUGUAAAGCACUUUAAGCGAGGAGGAGGCUACCGAGAUUAAUACUCUUGGAUAGUGGACGUUACUCGCAGAAUAAGCACCGGCUAACUCUGUGCCAGCAGCCGCGGUAAUACAGAGGGUGCAAGCGUUAAUCGGAUUUACUGGGCGUAAAGCGCGCGUAGGUGGCCAAUUCAGUCAAAUGUGAAAUCACCGAGCUUAACUUGGGAACUGCAUUCGAGACGGGUUGGCUAGAGUAUGGGAGAGGAUGGUAGAAUUCCAGGUGUAGCCGUGAAAUGCGUAGAGAUCUGGAGGAAUACCGAUGGCGAAGGCAGCCAUCUGGCCUAAUACUGACACUGGGGUGCGAAAGCAUGGGGAGCAAACAGGAUUAGAAGCCCUAGUAGUCC
rnacentral:rRNA from 1 species